ACAAGCGGUGGAGUAUGUGGUUUAAUUCGAUGCAACGCGAAGAACCUUACCUGGCCUUGACAUCCGGAAUUCUGGAACAGGAGAGUGCUUUCAUUAGAGAGAACCUGGAGACAGGUGCUGCAUGGCUGUCGUCAGCUCGUGUCGUGAGAUGUUGGGUUAAGUCCCGCAACGAGCGCAACCCUUGCCUUUAGUUGCCAGCAGUUCGGCUGGGCACUCUAAAGGGACUGCCGGUGUCAAACCGGAGGAAGGUGGGGAGUGACGUCAAGUCCUCAUGGCCUUUAUGGCCAGGGCUACACACGUACUACAAUGGCCGGUACAAAGGGCGGCGACAUUGCGAGAUGGAGCGAAUCCCGAAAAGCCGGUCUCAGUCCGGAUUGGAGUCUGCAACUCGACCCCAUGAAGUUGGAAUCGCUAGUAAUCGUGGAUCAGCAUGCCACGGUGAAUACGUUCCCGGGCCUU
rnacentral:rRNA from 1 species